GAGUUUGAUUAUGGCUCAGGAUGAAUGCUGGCGGCGUGCCUAACACAUGCAAGUCGAGCGGUAACAGGGAAAAGCUUGCUUUUCUGCUGACGAGCGGCGGACGGCUGAGUAACGCGUGGGAAUUUGCCCCAAAGUGAGGGAUAACUGCCCGAAAGGGUAGCUAAUACCGCAUAUGGUCUUCGGAUUAAAGGAUUUAUCUGCUUUGGGAGAAGCCCGCGUUGGAUUAGGUAGUUGGUAGGGUAAUGGCCUACCAAGCCGACGAUCCAUAGCUGGUCUGAGAGGAUGAUCAGCCAGACUGGAACUGAGACACGGUCCAGACUCCUACGGGAGGCAGCAGUGAGGAAUCUUCCACAAUGGGCGAAAGCCUGAUGGAGCAACGCCGCGUGAAGGAUGAAGGCCUUCGGGUUGUAAACUUCUUUUAUGAGUGAAGAAUAUGACCGUACUCANANGCC
rnacentral:rRNA from 1 species